GAUCCAUUAGCUCAGUUGGCAGAGCAUCUGACUUUUAAUCAGGGUGUCCGGGGUUCAAAUCCCCGAUGGAUCACCA
rnacentral:tRNA from 1 species